UCAGAUCCCAAGAUGCUGCAGCUGUGGCUGUGACUUGCAGCUGCAGCUCUAAUUUGACCACCAGCCCAGGAAAUUCCAUAUGCUGCAAGUACGACCAUAAAAAGAAAAAAAAAUUAAUAUUGGUUUACAAGAUGUGACAAUGUACUGUACUGAUGUGGAUUAAUAAUGUAAUGUAAUAAUGUAAUUGAUUAAUAAUAAGGGAAACCAGGUGUGGCAUAAACUGGAACUCUCUGUACUCUCUAAUUUUUUUGGUAAAUCUAGAGCUAUUCUAAAGUAAGCUUCUUAAGAAAUGAAUUAGCUAGUAGCAGGAAUUUUAUUUUAAAUGCUGCAAAUAACCAACUUGAUUGAUUAUAUUUUUGUUUAGGGGAGUAUUUAUUGAUUUGUUCCUAUUUUGUUAUUGAAUACUUUGGAUGUUUUGAUAAAAAUUUCGGUAGCACCUGGUCAUUUACGGUGACAUUGAUUAACCUGCUAAAUUUAGCUAUUGAGGAAAGUCCAGGUGUCUGCUGAAGUGUUUUUCUUUUCCCCAGUUUUAUAGGUUCAGCUCCAUCCAAGGAACUCCACAUUAAAACCCUUCAAAAUGAAGAACACUUUGACCUGAUUCUGUCAGCCCAGCCUCAACUGUAUUUUAGCUCCUGCGUUCCCGACAGAAAAAUGCAGUUUCAGACAGUUCUAAGGCCCCACAUAUCUCUUUGUGAUUCUACAAAAGCUCUGCUUCCAUUUUCUCAUGUUCUUUAAGCCUUUCUCUUUCUAAGGUCCAAUCCUCGUCAGCAACCAGGGUUUUAUGGAGGCUUCAUUCUAUGAUAUCAUUGAUUAAAUCACUGACCAUUGGCCAUUCAGUCUCCAGCUCCUCUCCCCUCCUGGAGUUCAGAAGAUGGGACUCAAAGUUACAACUCUGCAUCACGUGGUUGGCUUCCCUGGCAACCAGCAUCCUUAGGUAUUGUAAUGGAUUGAAUUGUGGUCCCGCAAAAGAUAUGUCCACUCAGAGCCUCAUUUGGAGUAAGAAUCUUUGCAACUAAAUAAAUGACUUCAGGAGCCACUAGAUUCUAGAAAAUGCAAGGACAGUUUCUCCCCUAGAGACUUUAAGGCAUAUGUACCCUUACUGACAACCUGAUUUUGAACUUUGGGCCUCCAGAACUAUAAGAAUAAAUUUCUGUUUUAAGUCACAGACUUUUUCGUUAGCAUAGCCUUAGAAAACUAAUACAGGUCCCCCCCGCACCAGGAGGAUGACAUACAGCAAAAUCUAAGCCAUUAUUAUAUUUCAGGAAGAUGAAAUGUUAAAGACCUGAAUUGAAGAAUUUAAGUCUAUUUGACAGAAAUAUAGGUGUUAUAAAAUUUCCUCUUUUAUAUGAUAAAAUUAAGUUAAAAAUAAGAUUCAUUAAAAUAUCAUUCAGUAGGUCACCAUUUAGGUAUAACCUAGUGAGAAAUCUAUCAUUGGAAGUAAUCCACGCCUCAUAACAAGAAUUAGGUGUCCCAUAACAGAAUCUCCAGCUGUUAAAAUGGUGUUGAACACUGGAAAACAAUCUCAGAGAAUACCAAGAACUUUACCGACAUACUUGCUCAGAGAAAAAGAAGGAGAAGAAGGAGAAAGAGGAGAAGUGAGAAAAGGAGAACUCUACCUUCAUGAUGAAAGAAAAAUUCAGAUUUAUUUUCCGCCUUAGCAAAGAGAGAAUUGGGCAAAGCAUAUUAAAAUGCAUAAACUAUUGUUUGGAUGAAAGUGGUCAAAAGGUAUAAACUUCCAGUUAUAGGUAUUAGGGAUUUAAUGACAACGUUUUGACUACGGUUAACCCUGCUGUAUGGUGUGUAUGACAGUAGAUAAAAGAGUAAAUCCAAGAGUUC